rnacentral:lncRNA from 1 species
UCAGAAAGUCCUGCCAGAACUCUUUGCUGUACCCCUCCACUGCUCUGCUUUGUGUAAAUCCUGCUUGCUAUAUUCCCAGGGAAACUCCAAUGGAAUUAAGCCUCAGAGAUGUAAAAAGAGGUUUAUCCACCUGCAUAUGAAUAACUGUGAUGAACAUGGAAGAACUGAAGCAGAAGGAGAAAGGAAGGAGAAGGGUCAGGUACGGCUCUUGUGGACAAUGAAGGCAUUGAGAGUCAGCAGUCCUGAGACUUAGAGCUCCAACUGGAUGCCAAAUCCUAGAGAAACAAGAGCUGAUCACUUGCCACGAUGGUGCAGGG